rnacentral:rRNA from 1 species
UGGUGGAGUGAUUUGUCUGGUUAAUUCCGUUAACGAACGAGACCCCCGCCUGCUAAAUAGUCUCCCUCAAGCGUAUGCUUGGGCGGAGGGCUUCUUAGAGGGACUUUACGUGACUAACGUAAGGAAGUUGGGGGCAAUAACA